rnacentral:rRNA from 1 species
AGAGUUUGAUCAUGGCUCAGAUUGAACGCUGGCGGCAGGCCUAACACAUGCAAGUCGAGCGGUAGAGAGAAGCUUGCUUCUCUUGAGAGCGGCGGACGGGUGAGUAAUGCCUAGGAAUCUGCCUGGUAGUGGGGGAUAACGUCCGGAAACGGACGCUAAUACCGCAUACGUCCUACGGGAGAAAGCAGGGGACCUUCGGGCCUUGCGCUAUCAGAUGAGCCUAGGUCGGAUUAGCUAGUUGGUGGGGUAAUGGCUCACCAAGGCGACGAUCCGUAACUGGUCUGAGAGGAUGAUCAGUCACACUGGAACUGAGACACGGUCCAGACUCCUACGGGAGGCAGCAGUGGGGAAUAUUGGACAAUGGGCGAAAGCCUGAUCCAGCCAUGCCGCGUGUGUGAAGAAGGUCUUCGGAUUGUAAGGCACUUUAAGCGAGGAGGAAGGUUCGUUACUUAAUACGUAACGGAAUUGACGUUACUCGCAGAAUAAGCACCGGCUAACUCUGUGCCAGCAGCCGCGGUAAUACAGAGGGUGCAAGCGUUAAUCGGAAUUACUGGGCGUAAAGCGCGCGUAGGCGGUUGCGUAAGUUGGAGGUGAAAUCCCCGGGCUCAACCUGGGCAUUGCCUUCAAAACUGCGCAGCUAGAGUAUUGGAGAGGAAGGUAGAAUUCCAGGUGUAGCGGUGAAAUGCGUAGAGAUCUGGAGGAAUACCGAUGGCGAAGGCAGCCUUCUGGCCAAAUACUGACGCUGAGGUGCGAAAGCAUGGGGAGCAAACAGGAUUAGAUACCCUGGUAGUCC